CCGCUGAGCCACCCAGGCGCCCCCCCCACCACCUAUUUUAAAUCAAGUUAAUGACAGUCAACGCUUCAGUGUUCUAAGAACCCUACAUAUACAACUUACUUAGUCGUCGUCAUAGCAACCCUGUAUUAGCCUAUGUCCUGGAGGAGAAAACUGAGACUCAGAUUAUCCAACAAACUUGCUCAAGGUCAAGAAACCAGUGAGUAGCAGAGCUGGGGUUUGAGCUCAGGAAAUCUCUCCCCAGACCACCUUGCUAUCCUAGCUCUUAAAUGAGCUUUGCUUAAGCAGCUCAGAGUCAAGAAAAUCUCCCCACAUGGGAAGCACUUAGCAGGGUGCUGGCGUUCCUUGAGUCUUUGAUGCUUUAAAUAAAAGUCAAGUCUGAGAUGCCAACCCGAAAAGUCCAUCUGCUGUACCCAGGACUCCAGCCAGUUGGAAACCAAUCUCCUCAAUGCCUGAGUAGCAGGCUCAUGGCACACUGAACCAUAUGAAAUUGUCACUAUUUGCCCAUUUUUUGUCCUAGGCCAAUGGCCAUUUCAUACAGUUCAACCUCAUGUUGGCCGAAACCCUACUUAGAUACAAGAUUUGAUUCCAGGCACUUCCCUCAUGUUUUCUCAUUUCAUCAUCACAACAAUUCUUCAGAGUGUUUUUUUGACCUUCAUUUUCACGUAAGGAAGUAGGCUCUGUCUAGCUAGCAGGAGAUCAUGCAGCAAUGCUUAAUGGUAGGUCCAAGGCUCCUCUUCCAAGAUGGGUCCUUGUCCACCGCACAGUGUCUGCAGGCUGAGCCCUAGGACCCAAGUGCAGCCAGAGGUCACGGAGGCAAAAAUGAAGGGUCACGUUCCACUGGCAGACUCAAGUUAUACUAGUUUUGAAAUGAAACAUGAGUCAGAAAGGGAAAGUAUACUAUGACCUCUGGAAAACAGGAGGAUAUGACUCAAUCAGCAGCAAGUCAACUUUGGAGAACUGAAUCAGACUUGCUUCAUUUUUUUCAAUAUUGUCACAGCCAUUAGAGUUCGUCAUCUUGAGGGUGUGCUUGCUAUAGCUUUAAAAGGAAUUUGGGGUUGAAGGGCGAUCUGCCUAAUGGGAGAACUCUGUUGUGUGCAGUGAGCAAGGAGAGCCCAGAUGGACGGCACCUAGAAGAGCCGGAGACUGUUGGGAUUCGGGUUGAGACAAGUCCAAGUAGAGAAGUGAGGGGUCAUCCACGGAGGGGGCAGGAUGGGGAGGUCUUUCGCAGCACAACCAAAAAAGAAUGACAACAUAGGGCUUUCCAGAUUCCCCAGUGCCGAUGGAGCCUUCUGGAGCUUGGAAAUCCAGUUUGACCACCUGCAAACAUUUUGGGAUGACUCUUAAGCUGCUCUACUUGGAAACUGCGUUCUACAGAGGAGGUGGUCACCACCUUUGUGCUCCACGCAAGCGUCUCUGCUUCCGAGUUCAACCCAAGUCCUGGCUGGCUCAGUGUUGCCGCGCAGUAGAUUCUUACAGAACAGCGAAUGAACCAAGGGAUGCAUGCGGCUGUCCAUGGUGCUGGUCUGCAGAGCAUGGGCUCUAGAGUCUGCUGAAGUCGGUUCGAAUCCUGACUCGGCCACUUCCCAGCGGCACAGAGGUGGGAACAUUACAUCAUCUCCUUGAUUGUCCUCCAUGAAACAGACACAGUUGAACGACCCACAUCAGAGGAUGUUGUAAGGAGGAAAGGAGACCCACUCCAUGAAUUGCUUAGCGCGCUGCUCGGCAGGUGGUCAAUGCUUGGGAAAUGGUGCCUUUUACAAAACCAGUAAAUUUGAUAAUUGCAGGUGUCCUCCCUCUUCACAUUCCUUAUUCCUUAGUCGCUGCGUUCUGUAAGCAGAGAUUGUUGGCACAGAUGCUGGUCGUUUCUUACUUCCUUUUCCUCAAGAAUUCCUUGUUGUUGAUUGAACUUUUUCCUAUUCAGCCCUCGGCUCCAGUCCGUGCAGUUUUCUCAGCAUUGGCACCAGGGCCACCCCACCCCUGUGUCCUCUGACGGACCCAGGGAGCAAGGGACAGGUCAUCUGAAGCUUGGAGAGGACCCACAACUUGACACUGGAGAGGAGACAGGCUCAGGUGAUCAGAUGUCUGUUCUUUACCCUCAGCGUCUGCGGGCUGAACUGGGAGCCGGAGGAGAAGUGCUGGCUGGGAGAUCCAGGGGAAAUGGGGAGACUGUGGAUGGACUGUGGACAGCUGUAAGGUAGCAGGGCAUA